UGGCAGAAUUUGCAGUGUGAUCAGCAAGUCUACGCUGAGGAUGCCCAUCUUCUCUGCCUCCCAGAAAGACUGCUACUCUUUUGCUUCCAGGCCACCUACUGGUUAGGCAGAGAAGGAAAAGAAAAGGGAAAAGACCAGAGGAAGAAGAAAUGAAGAGAAGAAAGACGAGCACGGUAAAGGGGAGAAAGAGGCAGGGAGAAAAGAGAAGAUCCAAUGAACUGCCUGCAGAGGCUGUAAGCAAGAGAGCCAAUUCAUGCCAAUUGUGGCAAUGCUUUCUGUGAGGAAGACAGCUGUCCAGAAACUGGAGGGAAGCCACCACUUCAUUUCACAGAGGCCACUGAACAGCUGUUACGAGACAACAGCCUUCAUUUGCUAUUGACCUGGUCUAGAUCUAAAUUGAUGGCCGAACCCACCCCCAGCAGCCCAAAUGCCUCUGGUGCUUUGAGGGUCUCUGAGUGUUUUUUAGUUUUGAGAAUAGUAUAUUAACCUCUGGAGACACCCAAGGUUGGUGGGGGAGGGCUGGGGAAUAGAAAAGAACACUCUGGUACAGUUAUGCAAGAUGAAUUCUUUUAGGACAAAAAUCCAUCAAAAUGAAUACAUUGAAACUCACCCUCUUUUCCUAAAAUUUGACUCAAUGUCUUCAUUCUCCCCUAAGUCUUUGACCCAAUGCAAUAGACCAAAGGAAAAUGGUCAAUAAGUCAUCAUCUUUGGAACAUCUUUCCCUCUACUUUUCCUCUGUAGCUCACAGGAAACCAUCAGUGGCCAUUAAGUGUUAAAAUAAAAUAGGCCAUUCUUUAUAAA